GACGAACGCUGGCGGCGUGCUUAACACAUGCAAGUCGAACGGAAAGGCCCUGCUUUUGUGGGGUGCUCGAGUGGCGAACGGGUGAGUAACACGUGAGUAACCUGCCCUUGACUUUGGGAUAACUUCAGGAAACUGGGGCUAAUACCGGAUAGGAGCUCCUGCUGCAUGGUGGGGGUUGGAAAGUUUCGGCGGUUGGGGAUGGACUCGCGGCUUAUCAGCUUGUUGGUGGGGUAGUGGCUUACCAAGGCUUUGACGGGUAGCCGGCCUGAGAGGGUGACCGGCCACAUUGGGACUGAGAUACGGCUCAGACUCCUACGGGAGGCAGCAGUGGGGAAUAUUGCACAAUGGGCGGAAGCCUGAUGCAGCAACGCCGCGUGCGGGAUGACGGCCUUCGGGUUGUAAACCGCUUUCGCCUGUGACGAAGCGUGAGUGACGGUAAUGGGUAAAGAAGCACCGGCUAACUACGUGCCAGCAGCCGCGGUGAUACGUAGGGUGCGAGCGUUGUCCGGAUUUAUUGGGCGUAAAGGGCUCGUAGGUGGUUGAUCGCGUCGGAAGUGUAAUCUUGGGGCUUAACCCUGAGCGUGCUUUCGAUACGGGUUGACUUGAGGAAGGUAGGGGAGAAUGGAAUUCCUGGUGGAGCGGUGGAAUGCGCAGAUAUCAGGAGGAACACCAGUGGCGAAGGCGGUUCUCUGGGCCUUUCCUGACGCUGAGGAGCGAAAGCGUGGGGAGCGAACAGGCUUAGAUACCCUGGUAGUCCACGCUGUAAACGGUGGGUACUAGGUGUGGGGUCCAUUCCACGGGUUCCGUGCCGUAGCUAACGCUUUAAGUACCCCGCCUGGGGAGUACGGCCGCAAGGCUAAAACUCAAAGGAAUUGACGGGGCCCCGCACAAGCGGCGGAGCAUGCGGAUUAAUUCGAUGCAACGCGUAGAACCUUACCUGGGUUUGACAUGGAUCGGGAGUGCUCAGAGAUGGGUGUGCCUCUUUUGGGGUCGGUUCACAGGUGGUGCAUGGCUGUCGUCAGCUCGUGUCGUGAGAUGUUGGGUUAAGUCCCGCAACGAGCGCAACCCUUGUUCACUGUUGCCAGCACGUUAUGGUGGGGACUCAGUGGAGACCGCCGGGGUCAACUCGGAGGAAGGUGGGGAUGACGUCAAGUCAUCAUGCCCCUUAUGUCCAGGGCUUCACGCAUGCUACAAUGGCUGGUACAGAGAGUGGCGAGCCUGUGAGGGUGAGCGAAUCUCGGAAAGCCGGUCUCAGUUCGGAUUGGGGUCUGCAACUCGACCUCAUGAAGUCGGAGUCGCUAGUAAUCGCAGAUCAGCAACGCUGCGGUGAAUACGUUCCCGGG
rnacentral:rRNA from 1 species